ACGAACGCUGGCGGCGUGCUUAACACAUGCAAGUGGAGCGACGAACCAGGGCUUGCCCUGGGGCAGAGCCGCGAACGGGUGAGUAACACGUGGGUAACGUGCCCCGAUGAUCGGGACAACCCGGGGAAACCCGGGCUAAUACCGAAUGUGCUCCCCUCACACCAGUGAGGGAUGGAAAGGAAGCUUCGGCCUCCGCAUCGGGAUCGGCCCGCGGCCCAUUAGCUUGUUGGUGAGGUAACGGCUCACCAAGGCUGCGAUGGGUAGCUGGUCUGAGAGGACGAUCAGCCACACUGGGACUGAGACACGGCCCAGACUCCUACGGGAGGCAGCAGNGGGGAAUCUUGCGCAAUGCGCGAAAGCGUGACGCAGCAACGCCGCGUGGGGGAAGACGGCCU
rnacentral:rRNA from 1 species